rfam:Brochothrix thermosphacta DSM 20171 = FSL F6-1036 c8, whole genome shotgun sequence.
UUUAACGAGAGUUUGAUCCUGGCUCAGGACGAACGCUGGCGGCGUGCCUAAUACAUGCAAGUCGAACGAACGGAUAAAGAGCUUGCUCUUUUGAAGUUAGUGGCGGACGGGUGAGUAACACGUGG